rnacentral:rRNA from 1 species
GACGAACGCUGGCGGCGUGCUUAACACAUGCAAGUCGAACGGAAAGGCCCUGCUUUUGUGGGGUGCUCGAGUGGCGAACGGGUGAGUAACACGUGAGUAACCUGCCCUUGACUUUGGGAUAACUUCAGGAAACUGGGGCUAAUACCGGAUAGGAGCUCCUGCUGCAUGGUGGGGGUUGGAAAGUUUCGGCGGUUGGGGAUGGACUCGCGGCUUAUCAGCUUGUUGGUGGAGUAGUGGCUUACCAAGGCUUUGACGGGUAGCCGGCCUGAGAGGGUGACCGGCCACAUUGGGACUGAGAUACGGCCCAGACUCCUACGGGAGGCAGCAGUGGGGAAUAUUGCACAAUGGGCGGAAGCCUGAUGCAGCAACGUCGCGUGCGGGAUGACGGCCUUCGGGUUGUAAACCGCUUUCGACUGUGACGAAGCGUGAGUGACGGUAAUGGGUAAAGAAGCACCGGCUAACUACGUG